rnacentral:rRNA from 1 species
GUCGAGCGGUAGAGAGAAGCUUGCUUCUCUUGAGAGCGGCGGACGGGCGAGUAAUGCCUAGGAAUCUGCCUGGUAGUGGGGGAUAACGUUCGGAAACGGACGCUAAUACCGCAUACGUCCUACGGGAGAAAGCAGGGGACCUUCGGGCCUUGCGCUAUCAGAUGAGCCUAGGUCGGAUUAGCUAGUUGGUGGGGUAAUGGCUCACCAAGGCGACGAUCCGUAACUGGUCUGAGAGGAUGAUCAGUCACACUGGAACUGAGACACGGUCCAGACUCCUACGGGAGGCAGCAGUGGGGAAUAUUGGACAAUGGGCGAAAGCCUGAUCCAGCCAUGCCGCGUGUGUGAAGAAGGUCUUCGGAUUGUAAAGCACUUUAAGUUGGGAGGAAGGGCAUUAACCUAAUACGUUAGUGUUUUGACGUUACCGACAGAAUAAGCACCGGCUAACUCUGUGCCAGCAGCCGCGGUAAUACAGAGGGUGCAAGCGUUAAUCGGAAUUACUGGGCGUAAAGCGCGCGUAGGUGGUUCGUUAAGUUGGAUGUGAAAUCCCCGGGCUCAACCUGGGAACUGCAUUCAAAACUGUCGAGCUAGAGUAUGGUAGAGGGUGGUGGAAUUUCCUGUGUAGCGGUGAAAUGCGUAGAUAUAGGAAGGAACACCAGUGGC